CUUGAUUAGACGCGAUAGUUCGAACUCCGAGAAGUCGAACUCUCCGCGUCGACCCGCACGGUUUCUUAGUGAGACAAACAAUAAUAAAUAUUUAUUGGAGAAAGAGGUUGGAAAGUGAUUCAUACAACCCUCCACAUGUCCGCCGAAAACAGAAGAUAGCCGAUAUUGUCAAUAAAUACAGAAACAAGCAGCUGGAGCCAGAGUUUUAUACCUCACUUUUCCAGGAGGUUGGGCUCAAGAACUGCAAUCCCUAGACCAAUAUUCUUCCAGGACAAUUAGAUCAGAGCUUGGUGGCUACAGUAAUCGAAACAGUUAGACAACCAAAAAAACCCAAACCACCCUUCAAAAAAAUCUCCGUCUCAGUCCUCCAGAGUAGAGAGAAAUGACUCGGUGGAUAUACUGCAGGAGGAGUCAGGAAUGAAUAGGUUCUCAACCUUCAACGUCCUAGUAAGACCACAUCUUUGAACACAAUGUCCCCUGCACUAGAGGAGGCAAAAAUUAUCCCGCUUUCACCAUUUAAACAUUUUCCCAUUCUGUUAGAAAAAAAUAUAGCAAGUAUAUCUGAGAGAGGCUUGAAUGCGGCUUUGACAGCUUCCCGAGUUCAAAGAAAAUUGCGGGUGCCGGGCGUAGGUUCAGGAAAUAACAGCUGGGGCUUCCUUCCUCACUGCUCCAGGAGAUUCGGUUCAAGAACUAAUCCUGAGACCAGUUCCUUACAAGACGUGAAAUCAAGAACAUGGUAGCUGGAAUAUUAACUUACCUUGCCCACUCACCCACUGACAACCAACCACUGCAUUCCACACCAGUCCUCCUGGAUACUCAAAACAUCAUCUCUUAGCACAACCUAAUUACAGGAAGGAGCAAAUAUCUCAUCCAGUGAGAAGAACGCACUGAAUACAGACCUCCAUCUCUGUAUAGGGGGAUGGAAAAUGAAAUACAGAUAAACCUGGCCCCCACAUCUGAAUGAAAGGUGUCUAAGUGCACACAUGCACAAAAGAAGGAACAGAGUCAUCUUCCCUUCAUACCUUCUGGGGAAGAGAGAGACCCUCCCCCAUCUCGGAGCAUUAACCAUCCACUGUAAGGAGUUAAAUAGAAGUUCUUAAAAAUACCUCCAAACUCAAUAGAAGAGACUUCUCUGACCAAGACCGUUCAACUCCUAUAACAAACUGAAGGAGAAAAAAGUUAGUUCAUAAACAUCAAGUCAUUAAAUCCAUAGCUGAAGUGCUGUGAUUCCAUAGUUACCUCUCAAUAAAUUCCAGAAUUACUGCU